GAUUAACGCUGGCGGCGUGCAUAACACAUGCAAGUCGAACGAUGAAACUUUAAUGAUCCCUUCGGGGAGAAUUAAAGCGGCUUAGUGGCGAACGGGUGAGUAACGCGUGAGUAACCUGCCUUACACAAGGGGAUAGCCUUUUGAAACGAAGAAUAAUACCCUAUAAAACCAUAAAAGCACAUGCAAUUAUGGUCAAAGUGAUAGCGGUGUAAGAUGGACUUGCGUCUGAUUAGCUAGUUGGUGAGAUAAAAGCCCACCAAGGCAACGAUCAGUAGCCGGCUUGAGAGAGUGUACGGCCACAUUGGGACUGAGACACGGCCCAGACUCCUACGGGAGGCAGCAGUGGGGAAUUUUGCACAAUGGGGGAAACCCUGAUGCAGCGACGCCGCGUGAUUUAGAAGGCCUUCGGGUUGUAAAAAUCUUUUGUAUAGGAAGAAAAUGACAGUACUAUACGAAUAAGGUCCGGCUAAUUACGUG
rnacentral:rRNA from 1 species